rnacentral:sRNA from 1 species
CUGAAGGCCCCGGAGUGCACCAGCGGCAUGUACAAAGAGACCGUCUACUCCGCCUUCAAUCUGCUCAUGCACUACCCACCCGCCUCGGGAGCAGGGCAGCACCCCCAGCCGCAGCCCCCGCUGCACAAGGCCAAUCAGCCCCCCCACGGUGUCCCCCAACUCUCUCUCUACGAACAUUUCAACAGCCCACAUCCCACCCCUGCACCUGCGGACAUCAGCCAGAAGCAAGUUCACAGGCCUCUACAGACCCCUGACCUCUCUGGCUUCUACUCCCUGACCUCAGGCAGCAUGGGGCAGCUCCCCCACACUGUGAGCUGGUAAGUGUGGGCCCAUUGGGAAAGGGGUACCGUGUGCUGGUCGGACCAAGACCUGCCUGCCCUUCCAUUUCCUCCUCCAUCCCUCUUGGCUGGCCACCCUGCUGCCAGCUGUGUUUAGAUGCCAGGGGCUGGCCAGCAACUCUGGCCUAACCUGGCUCUGAGCUAGGGGUCCUCAUGUACCCCGGCCUGCAUUCCCCAGGAAGCCUGACAUACUCCCUUUGGGGAGGCAGGAGAGCUGGUCCCUGGUCCCAGCCCUGUCUCCCUCAGUGUCCAAGAGAUCCCCUUGGAUAGGAGAACUCUGGGCUGCUAAGGGACCUCCAGGGCCAUAUGAGUAAGUGAGGAAGAAAGGUGGGCCCGAGCAGGGAGGGGACAGCAUGAGUGGCUACCAGAGAGGCUGCUGCUUCUCAGCUCACUGGCCUCAGUGCCUACCGCUUUUGGUCCUUUCCUUGGCUGAGCUGCUUGAGGGGCAGUGUCCCUCCCUGCCCCUGUGGUGACUGCUUGAGCCCAAGCCUCUGACCAGCCUGCUUGGAGAUUCUUAAGGCUGGGCCAGGAAAAGGAAGCCUGGCCCCCUAAGCCAGUAGGCCUGACUAUGGGCCAAAGGGCCUGUCCUCAGCUGGAGUUGGGCCUUGGCAGGCUACUUGGCCCUUUACUCAACAACAGUGUGAGCUACGCAGGUCUCUAGCCUAUUUCAGAGAGCUGGGCUGUGGCAGUCACCCAACAGCAGGAAAACUUGGCUCCCCAAGCAGAUGGGGCAGGCCAGAGGCCCAACCUGUGGCCCACUUGCCCUUUAUCCAUGGUCAGCACCCUCCUCUGUUCC